rnacentral:rRNA from 1 species
UUGAUCCUGGCUCAGAAUCAACGCUGGCGGCGUGCCUAACACAUGCAAGUCGAACGCGAAAAGGGCUUCGGCUCUUAGUAGAGUGGCGAACGGGUGAGUUACACGUGGGUGACCUACCUUCGAAUGGGGGAUAACGUCCCGAAAGGGACUCUAAUACCGCAUAACAUCCUGCCUUUGAACAGGUGGAGAUCAAAGCCGGUGAUCGCAAGACCUGGCAUUUGAAGAGGGGCCCGCGUCUGAUUAGCUAGUUGGUGAGGUAACGGCCCACCAAGGCGACGAUCAGUAUCCGGCCUGAGAGGUCGGACGGACACACUGGGACUGAGACACGGCCCAGACUCCUACGGGAGGCUGCAGUGGGGAAUUGUUCGCAAUGGGCGCAAGUCUGACGACGCAACGCCGUGUGGAGGAUGAAGGUCUUCGGAUUGUAAACUCCUGUUGCCCGGGACGAAUAGCUUCGACCUAACACGUCGGAGUCUGACGGUACCGGGUGAGGAAGCCCUGGCUAACUCUGUGCCAGCAGCCGCGGUAAUAAGGU